rnacentral:rRNA from 1 species
CGUAAUAAUAGAAACUAACCAGGAUUCCCUUAGUAACGGCGAGUGAACUGGGAUACCCAAUAUAUACCAUCUGUGCGUACCUCGGUGCGUACAAAUUUUAGCCCGUCGAUACUAUCCUAGCAUAGUACUGGCUUCGGCCGGUAACCUAUCUAUGCGGGAAUUGUAGCAUCGUACAAAAAUAUAUUAUACAACGUAUAUACGCAACCCACACUUAUAUAUAUAUUUUUAUGCGUACACUUACUUUCAUAAACACACAGCGCUCCCGCGUUGGAAAGCAAGUCUAUAUCCUUUUUGGAUAUGCCAUAGAGUGUGACGGCCACGUUUCAACUCUCUACGUAUACGCAUGCGUUAUAUACAUACACUGUAUUUUAUAUAUAACCUGAGUCGAGUUAUUU